rnacentral:sRNA from 1 species
CCAACCCUAUGACUCUGGGUUCUGGAGAGGUGAAAGAGCAUCUCCAGGUGGCUCAAAGCUGUGGCUCCAGGUACUACUCCUCCAGGCGGGCUGCUCCCUGGGGCACAUGUUCUCAGUCCACCAGUGGGCCAUGCCACAUCAACCCACCUGCUUCCUGGCACGUGGGAUGCACAGCCCGUGACCUUGGACCCAGCAGUAGGCAGCAUGCUUUCCAGUUUUGAAGGCAAGGACAGAGGUAUACAGGGCACUACUUGAGAUCCUGUCUGAUUUAGAAUUUUGUAGGACGGAUUCCUGUUGUUGAACACAUUGAGUGAUGAGAAACUUGGCAAAUCUUGUUGGCAAAUCUCUCACCUUGAUUCCCUUUGGCAUCCUUUGUGUCUGUCUGAUCCUUCCAGCCUGGUCUUUGGAUAGCAGGUACCCACUUCUUAGGAUGUGCCAGACACCACGUUUCAAGCCACAGUCGAGGAAGGAGCUGUGGGAGUUAUUGUCAAUUUGACAGUUGAAGAUAAGGAUGACCCCACCACAGGUGCAUGGAGGGC